UGCCACAGAGUGUAGUGGUUAUCACAGCGGAUUCGUAAGUUUUAUCACUAUCAAUCGUAGACAAUAUCAUUCCUAACAAUAUCUCAGUGAUAUUCGUCUGAAUCUUCCGCUAACCCCGGUUCGAAUCCGGGCAA